AAGACCUUGCACUUUUGGAGCGGCCGAUGUCUGAUUAGCUAGUUGGUGGGGUAAUGGCCUACCAAAGCUUCGAUCAGUAGCUGGUCUGAGAGGACGACCAGCCACACUGGGACUGAGACACGGCCCAGACUCCUACGGGAGGCAGCAGUGGGGAAUUUUGGACAAUGGGCGCAAGCCUGAUCCAGCCAUGCCGCGUGAGUGAAGAAGGCCUUCGGGUUGUAAAGCUCUUUCAGCCGGGAAGAAAAGGCUACGACGAAUAAUCGUAGCUCAUGACGGUACCGGAAGAAGAAGCACCGGCUAACUACGUGCCAGCAGCCGCGGUAAUACGUAGGGUGCGAGCGUUAAUCGGAAUUACUGGGCGUAAAGGGUGCGCAGGCGGUUUUGUAAGUCAGAUGUGAAAUCCCCGGGCUUAACCUGGGAACU
rnacentral:rRNA from 1 species